rnacentral:rRNA from 1 species
CCUACGGGAGGCAGCAGUGGGGAAUAUUGCGCAAUGGGCGAAAGCCUGACGCAGCGACGCCGCGUGAGGGAUGAAGGUCUUCGGAUCGUAAACCUCUGUCAGCAGGGAAGAACGGUCACUGUGCUAAUCAGCAGUGAAUUGACGGUACCUGCAAAGGAAGCACCGGCUAACUCCGUGCCAGCAGCCGCGGUAAUACGGAGGGUGCGGGCGUUAAUCGGUAUUACUGGGCGUAAAGCGCUCGUAGGCGGUAUGUCAAGUCAAGGGUGAAAUCCCCGGGCUCAACGUGGGAACUGCCUUUGAAACUGGCAAACUGGAGUGUGUGAGAGGAUAGUGGAAUUCCAGGUGGAGGAGUGAAAUGCGUAGAUAUCUGGAGGAACAUCAGUGGCGAAGGCGACUAUCUGGCACAUAACUGACGCUGAGGAGCGAAAGCGUGGGUAGCAAACAGGAUUAGAUACCCUUGUAGUC